rnacentral:rRNA from 1 species
AAGGGCACCACAAGAACGCGUGGAGCAUGUGGCUUAAUUUGACUCAACGCGGGAAAUCUUACCGGGUCCGGACACACUGAGGAUUGACAGGCGAUUGUAGUUCUUCUCUUCGGGGUUGUUCUACUAUAAAUAUGCUAGUCCUUUCAUGAUUGUGUGAUAGGUGGUGCAUGGCCGUUCUUAGUUCGUGGAGUGAUCUGUCUGCUUAAUUGCGUUUCACAAAGGAGCCGUUACGCCCGUUAGUUGCGCGGUACUUCGGUGCCUGUCGCACUGCGGGGAAGGUCUCCUGAAGGCAACGAACGUGACCGCAACCUCUUGUUGCCUCCUUCCCUUAUGGGACAUGGGAUUUGCUUUUGCUUUUGCAUUUGUCUUUUCCCUGCAUUUGGAGUUUGCCAACUAGAGGGACCGCUGACAACUUUUAAAACAGAGGAAGGUUGCGGCAAUAACAGGUCUGUGAUGCCCUUAGAUGUUCCGGGCUGCACACGUGCUACAAUGAUUAUUGCAGUGAGCAUCUAAUUUACACGGCUCGGUUUGUGUUUAGUGUUUCGAUACUCUACACAUCCGGCCAAUCACCUGUUUCGAAAGCAAACAGGCAAUCAAUUGGAAGUAAUGAUUUCCUUUCUCGCACAUAUUUAUGACCCUUGUUUGUAGCCGUGCCUUUCCUUGUGUUAGGUAUCGUUUGCUACCCUGGGUUAUGUGCUCCAUUUAUUUCAUGGUGGGGACAGACCAUUGUUAAUUGUUGGUCUCGGUCUCAACCAGGAAUGCCUUGUACGGGUCUUUGGUUCAACAAACCACCCGGAAUAUGUCCCUGCCCUUUGUACACACCGCCCGUCGCUCUUACCGAUGGACUUCUCUAUGAGUUCAGAGGACUGGCUUUUCAUUUCUUUGAAACGCUAUGGAAAUCUGUGCGAAUAGUAUAGUCUAAAGGAAAGAGAAGUCGAACAAGGCA